AAGCAGUAAAUGCGAUUAGGUUAAUGAGAGCAGAUGGCCUGAGGCCUAGUAUUUUAGCUCUGAAUUCCUUGAUCAAUGCAUUUGGCGAGGAUAGGAGAGAUGCUGAAGCAUUUGCAGUGCUGCAAUACAUGAAGGAAAAUGAUUUGAAGCCAGAUGUGGUAACGUAUACUACUCUUAUGAAAGCUUUGAUUCGUGUAGAUAAAUUUAAUAAGGUGC
rnacentral:misc_RNA from 1 species